AUUGAACGCUGGCGGCAGGCCUAACACAUGCAAGUCGAGCGGAUGAAGGGAGCUUGCUCCUGGAUUCAGCGGCGGACGGGUGAGUAAUGCCUAGGAAUCUGCCUGGUAGUGGGGGAUAACGUCCGGAAACGGGCGCUAAUACCGCAUACGUCCUGAGGGAGAAAGUGGGGGAUCUUCGGACCUCACGCUAUCAGAUGAGCCUAGGUCGGAUUAGCUAGUUGGUGAGGUAAAGGCCUACCAAGGCGACGAUCCGUAACUGGUCUGAGAGGAUGAUCAGUAAGAGUGGGAAUGAGAGAAGGUGAAGACUCCUACGGGAGGCAGCAGGAGGGAAGAUUGAGGAAUGGGAGAAAGAUUGAAGGAGCAAAGCGGCGGGAGUGAUGAAGGUAUUAGGAUCGUAGAAUUUUGUUAUUAGGGAAGAACAUAUGUGUAAGGAAAUGUGCAAAUCUUGACGGGACCUAAUCAGAAAGCCAGGGCUAGGUAGGUG
rnacentral:rRNA from 1 species